UACGGAGGGUGCAAGCGUUAAUCGGAAUUACUGGGCGUAAAGCGCACGUAGGUGGAUUGUUAAGUCAGUUGUGAAAGCCCAGGGCUUAACCUUGGAAUUGCAAUUGAAACUGGGAGUCUAGAGUAUGGGAGAGGGUAGUAGAAUUCCAGGUGUAGCGGUGAAAUGCGUAGAGAUCUGGAGGAAUACCGGUGGCGAAGGCG
rnacentral:rRNA from 1 species